GGGGUUUUUCCUUGUAACACAAGAAGCCGCGAUCUCUGUUUACACAAGCAUUCAACCAUUUCGUCUGCUCGAUCUCCGAGUUCAAGCCGUUGGAACAGUUGCAAAUUUGGAUUACAGCUAUUGUUGGUCUUUGCUAUCGGGGAAUGUUUUCUUGUGCAAAAAUAAUUUUAGUUUAGAUGCAGGGAAAAGUGGUCAAGUACCUUUGGUUUAUUUCUUUUCUGCUACUAAUUCUUCGCAUUCGGGAACAUGAAUUUCAACAAUGUCAAAGCUCCCAAGGUGCCAGAUGGUGGUGCAGCUUCUGCUUUGAUUAAGCUGGGAGUUGUUGGUGGGCUUGGUUUGUAUGGAGCUAUUAAUAGUCUGUACAAUGUUCAGGGAGGUCAUCAGGCCAUUGUGUUUAAUCGCAUAGUUGGUGUCAAGGACAAGGUUCUCAUUUCCCCUUGGUUUCUUGCAUAUGAGACCUAAAAUCCAUUAAAUUAUUUUUGUCUCUGCUUAUAUGGUUUUUUGGGUAAUUGCUUUUAGAUUUUACUUGCUUUGCUUCUGUUACUUUCGAUAUUCAACUCUGAUGUGUUUUAUUUAAUGGGUUUUUCAUAUUUUCCAGUGCUUUAAUCUUUCAGCAACCUAUUCACUUUUUUCUAGGCUGAUUUGUUUUGCAUGUAUGUUGCAAGAUGAUAAGACUUCUUCAGAAACUGUCCUAUGAAUGGAUAAAUGGUUCUGUUUUGAAAUAUUUCUAUAACAUGCAAAUCAAGUUUUCUUUUGGAUUCAAUCGUGAUAGUCGCCAUCAUUGGAAACUGUUUUGUUAUGAUAUACCUGUUUGUACACCCUUAUUUUGGCCUAGUUUUUUUUAUUCAUUUUCGGAGUAAAUUUUAGAUCACUUUGGGGAGCUUUUGGCAGCUGGUAUGAGAGAGUGGCAUGGGAUGGGUGUUUUUUUAGGUAAGCAACCGGAGAGUGACACGUUGCAUGGGAAUAUUCUGGCCGUUAGAGGAGACAUUUUUGAGCUUGGGGAGCAAGCUUGAGGGAAAAGGGGGGACGGAGAGGCUGGAGGGGGUGAGCUAAGCAAGAAAGAAGAAAGAUGGUUUUCUGAGUUCUUGUCGAUCUUGUUGGAGAGAAUCAUUCUCAGGUAUGCUUUUCUUCUCUUUUUCUGCUCAUUCUUGGGUGAUGUUUGGGGAUUGGUAGUAUGUUUAUAUAUCUUUUUUUUAUGGUUCUUGCUGAGCAGUUUGUCCUUGUUUCAGUUUCCCCAUGAUAUAUCUGUUACCAUGCUUUGAUUUUUGUUUGAUACUCAUUUGAUUUCACUCACCUUUAUGUAAGCCCAUUGAUUGAUGCAUGACAUGAGGCUUGUAUGGGUUCACUUUGUUCCUAUUAUUUGUACUCAGUUUUGCCAUUUUCCCCUGUUCCUGGUACUCGUCCAUGGUGCGCACCAGUUCUCUCAUCCCUGCCUGAGAGAGCAAGGAACUACUAAGGUGCAAAUGUAAGGAGACUAAAGCAAGGAUGUUAAUUGGAUUGUGAUUAUGUAUGCUCUGUUUUUGGGACCUCUUAGCUCUCUGUACCCGGUUCUCAAAUCAUUUCUUAGUUUCAUGAUUUCUUGGGGAUAGUGUUUGGUUGCGCCUGGUGCUUACUUCAUGGUUCUAGUGGCCUGCUUGUUUGUCAUUGGUUGUCAAAGAUGUUAGUUGAAAUUACACAGUUUAGGCUCUUGCUUUCCAAGGUUUGGAUUAUGGGUUUGGUUCUGUUCUUCGGAAGUCAUCUGAAUCAGAGGUAAUACAUGCCAAGCUGAAAAGGAUCUGAUAGCUGCUACAAGGAGCAAAUAAAUUGUGUGGGGAUUGAUCUAAUAAGAAUGGAAGUGUGGUAAUUUCUGAGCAGAAAUCCUAAAACGUCUUGGAGAAACUAAACUAAUUCAGUUGAGAAUCCUGCCCCAGAAACUGAUUCAUAUCUACAGCUUUUAGUCAGUAUUUGUUUAGAGAUGGAUUUGGAAGUGGCAUCCCGUGAUGUAAGCUCGAGUCUCUAUGCCCCCAAAAAAAAAAAAACACAAGAAAAGGCAUAAUUCCAUGGAAAAUAAUCAUACAGAUCAUGUUCAUCGACAAGGUACUUCUUCGAUGGAAGACAACCCUUUUGUUAGUAAUUCACUUCAAGAGCCUCCAGCUAAUAGCACUGCAAAGCUAGAUCUGGAAGCCCAACUUGAUUCGGAUGUGAAAAAAAUAUGAGAAAAACAAACAGAAACCAAGGUCGAUGAAGUGAAUCAAGCGGCCGAGUUGAAAAUGGGGUUCCAGAAUCAGGUGACAAGUCUGUGCAGAUAGAAACAGAUACAAAGGUCGGGGCUCCAAAGGAAAAGGAUGUACGGGCUGCUGCAGUUAACCUUACACAGAAAAGCCACACGUCGAUCAUCACAACUCACUAGGUGAUUCUGAUGGUGCUUCAAAUCCCUUGGAUGCCCAUCAAGACCUUGAGAGUUACCAGGCAUCAGAGGCGUUAAAUCUUCUCUCAUACAACAUAGACAAGGUGGGGGUUGAUUCCUCACCUUCCGAUGAUCACGCGAUUGAGGACAAACCUGCUUAUCACCAGCUGCAAAGACUGCCCUCCAGGAGACUGCAUGAUUCAGAUUGAUCAGAAGAAUGAGGCCAUCCUCUUGCCUAUCUAUGGAUAACACAGACGUUCUCUCAGGCAGACGCCAUGACCUUAAUGCUCUAAAGGAACAUUUGCUAAAAGAGACUACAGAACAUCGUUCAUAAAUGGCUGAAAGUAGGGAACCCGACAUGCCCUCUAACCCAACAGGUCAUCUCUCACACUAUGCUUAUUCCCAAUCACUUGAUCCGGGAAAUGAUAUCACAAUGGUGCAAGAGCCAUGGGAUUGAAUUGACAGACCCGGAUCAGUACAACAAUGAGGACCAGAAUGGGAUGCCACUGUCCAGAAUUUCCACCAUCACCGCUCCUCUGAGCUCUGUUACAUGACACGCCUCAACCCAUACCCAUUGGUGUUUGGGAGUUGAAAUAAAAAAAAAAAUGCCUCAACUGUAGGCAGCACUCCUGCCCUCCAAACAAUGGCUCAAAUCCACAUUUUGGCUCCAACAUUUCCUCUCUUUCGCCUCUCCUCCCAAACCCGUCUUUCUUUUUCAAUCAACUUCUUCUGGGUUCGAUUCAACUUAUAUGCUGCCACCAGGAGGCUCUCCACCAUCCCAGUUCAUUUGAAUCAACCAGAAGAUGGAAGCAGUGAUUUGGACAAGUUGAGGGUGUUGAGACAGAAAAUUGAGGUUUCUGGGAUUACCUUGGAUGAUUCUUGUGUGCCAGGACGAUACUAUCACUUGAUUUGUCCUAAGUGUAAUGGUGGGCAGUUAAUGGAGAGGAGCUUAUCUUUUCAUAUAACCCAAGACAGGAAUUUGGCAAUGUGGAGAUGUUUUCGCGGUACAUGUGGAUGGAGGCAGGCCAGGCCUUUCCAGAGAGUAGUGCAGCAUACAGUGAAGUCACCAAUAAUUGGAUGACAGUGGACAGCCUAGGGUUAGAACCUUUGGGUGACAAGCUGAUCGCAUAUUUUGGUGAGCGGAUGAUAUCAGAGAAAACCCUGUGGAGAAAUGUUGUUAUACAGUUAUCUGGUAACCAGAGUGUCAUUGCUUUUACCUAUAGACAAAAUGGACUUCUUGUCGGUUGUAAGUAUCGAAGCAUGGGCAAAUUGUUUUCCAAAGAUUCA